rnacentral:lncRNA from 1 species
UUUUUUUGAAAUAAAUGUACUGAGUGAAUUGUUAUUUAUUACAUACCAUGUGACUAAUAUAAUUACAUCAAAAGUAGGUUUCAAAAUGUAAUGAGUGAAUUAUUAUUUAUUACAUACCAUGUGACUAAUAUAAUUACAUCAAAAGUAGGUUUCAACGAGGCUAGAAAUUGUUCUAACCUUUUCUUGAUUGAAAUCUUUCAAUUCUCUAAGACCCAAAACUCUCAACUCUUUCACCUCUUUUAUUGACCACUCAUUUUUUUCUACCCUAUUAAGGAUCCCUUGUAUCGUCCCCACAUAUAAGCCAUACCUUCUCAAUUUUUCAAUCUCCUCCUCGCUUCCACCUCCUAAUGUUGCCCCACACGCACCUGCACACGCGUGCAAUACACCUUCCUUUUUCUACAUACAUUAUGUAGCCAUCCCACGUGGAAAGCUUCCGUCCCGUCCGAUUCUCCAAGUUGUGACUCAUUAUAUUGCCCUUCCAUCAUCCCUUGUGUACCCAUGGCACGUGAGAUCUCGAUGAUUGCACGCAAAACCCGAUUCGAAUUGUUGUCGGCCCGAGCCAGUAACUCAAACCCGAAUGCUAUCAUUCCAUCUGCCAUUAGAAGUCUAAUGUUGNNN